rnacentral:rRNA from 1 species
GGCGGCGUGCUUAACACAUGCAAGUCGAACGGAAAGGCCCUGCUUUUGUGGGGUGCUCGAGUGGCGAACGGGUGAGUAACACGUGAGUAACCUGCCCUUGACUUUGGGAUAACUUCAGGAAACUGGGGCUAAUACCGGAUAGGAGCUCCUGUUGCAUGGUGGGGGUUGGAAAGUUUCGGCGGUUGGGGAUGGACUCGCGGCUUAUCAGCUUGUUGGUGGGGUAGUGGCUUACCAAGGCUUUGACGGGUAGCCGGCCUGAGAGGGUGACCGGCCACAUUGGGACUGAGAUACGGCCCAGACUCCUACGGGAGGCAGCAGUGGGGAAUAUUGCACAAUGGGCGGAAGCCUGAUGCAGCAACGCCGCGUGCGGGAUGACGGCCUUCGGGUUGUAAACCGCUUUCGCCUGUGACGAAGCGUGAGUGACGGUAAUGGGUAAAGAAGCACCGGCUAACUACGUGCCAGCAGCCGCGGUGAUACGUAGGGUGCGAGCGUUGUCCGGAUUUAUUGGGCGUAAAGGGCUCGUAGGUGGUUGAUCGCGUCGGAAGUGUAAUCUUGGGGCUUAACCCUGAGCGUGCUUUCGAUACGGGUUGACUUGAGGAAGGUAGGGGAGAAUGGAAUUCCUGGUGGAGCGGUGGAAUGCGCAGAUAUCAGGAGGAACACCAGUGGCGAAGGCGGUUCUCUGGGCCUUUCCUGACGCUGAGGAGCGAAAGCGUGGGGAGCGAACAGGCUUAGAUACCCUGGUAGUCCACGCUGUAAACGGUGGGUACUAGGUGUGGGGUCCAUUCCACGGGUUCCGUGCCGUAGCUAACGCUUUAAGUACCCCGCCUGGGGAGUACGGCCGCAAGGCUAAAACUCAAAGGAAUUGACGGGGCCCCGCACAAGCGGCGGAGCAUGCGGAUUAAUUCGAUGCAACGCGUAGAACCUUACCUGGGUUUGACAUGGAUCGGGAGCGCUCAGAGAUGGGUGUGCCUCUUUUGGGGUCGGUUCACAGGUGGUGCAUGGCUGUCGUCAGCUCGUGUCGUGAGAUGUUGGGUUAAGUCCCGCAACGAGCGCAACCCUUGUUCACUGUUGCCAGCACGUUAUGGUGGGGACUCAGUGGAGACCGCCGGGGUCAACUCGGAGGAAGGUGGGGAUGACGUCAAGUCAUCAUGCCCCUUAUGUCCAGGGCUUCACGCAUGCUACAAUGGCUGGUACAGAGAGUGGCGAGCCUGUGAGGGUGAGCGAAUCUCGGAAAGCCGGUCUCAGUUCGGAUUGGGGUCUGCAACUCGACCUCAUGAAGUCGGAGUCGCUAGUAAUCGCAGAUCAGCAACGCUGCGGUGAAUACGUUCCCGGGGCUUGUACACACCGCCCGUCAAGUCAUGAAAGUUGGUAACACCCGAAGCCGGUGGCCUAACCGUCGUGGGGGAGCCGUCGAAGGUGGGACUGGUGAUUAGG